rnacentral:rRNA from 1 species
GCACCACAAGAGGUGGGACCUGCGGUUCAAUUGGAUUCAACGCCGGAAAACUCACCAGGGGCGACAGUUGGACGAAAGCCAGGUUGACGACCUUGCCCGACUAGCUGAGAGGUGGUGCAUGGCCAUCGUCAGCUCGUACCGUGAGGCGUCCUGUCAAGUCAGGCAACGAGCGAGAUCCUCGCCCUUAGUUGCCAUCGGUGGAAAAGCCGGGCACUCUAGGGGGACCGCUGGCGCUAAGUCAGAGGAAGGAGAGGGCGACGGUAGGUCAGUAUGCCCCGAAUCCCCUGGGCUACACGCGGGUCACAAUGCGCAGGACAAUGAGAUGCAACCCCGUAAGGGGAAGCCAAACCCUUAAACCUGCGCUCGGUUCGGAUCGAGGGCUGUAACUCGCCCUCGUGAAGCUGGAAUCUCUAGUAAUCGCGUGCCGACACCGCGCGGUGAAUACGUCCCUGCUCCUUGCACACACCGCCCGUCAAGCCACUCGAGUGGGGUUUGGAUGAGGUCAGUUCAAGUUGUGCUGCUCGAAUCCGAGUUCUGCAAGAGGGGCU